GGAUUAGAUACCCUGGUAGUCUACGCCGUAAACGAUGGAUACUAGCAUUCGGAGGUGUCGACCCCUUCGGUAGCGAAGCUAACGCGUUAAGUAUCCCGCCUGUGUAGUACGAGCGCAAGCUUAAAACAUAAAGGAAUUGACGGGGACCCGCACAAGCGGUGGAGCGUGUUCUUUAAUUCGAGGCUAAGCGAAGAACCUUACCAGGGCUUGAAAUCCCGAGAAGUCUAUCGAAAGAUGGAUGUGCCUUUUGGAACUCGGUGACAGGUGCUGCAUGGCCGUCGUCAGCUCGUGCCG
rnacentral:rRNA from 1 species